rnacentral:rRNA from 1 species
UUGAACGCUGGCGGCAGGCCUAACACCUGCAAGUCGAGCGGAUGAAGGGAGCUUGCUCCUGGAUUCAGCGGCGGACGGGUGAGUAAUGCCUAGGAAUCUGCCUGGUAGUGGGGGAUAACGUCCGGAAACGGGCGCUAAUACCGCAUACGUCCUGAGGGAGAAAGUGGGGGAUCUUCGGACCUCACGCUAUCAGAUGAGCCUAGGUCGGAUUAGCUAGUUGGUGGGGUAAAGGCCUACCAAGGCGACGAUCCGUAACUGGUCUGAGAGGAUGAUCAGUCACACUGGGACUGAGACACGGUCCAGACUCCUACGGGAGGCAGCAGUGGGGAAUAUUGGACAAUGGGCGAAAGCCUGAUCCAGCCAUGCCGCGUGUGUGAAGAAGGUCUUCGGAUUGUAAAGCACUUUAAGUUGGGAGGAAGGGCAGUAAGUUAAUACCUUGCUGUUUUGACGUUACCAACAGAAUAAGCACCGGCUAACUUCGUG